rnacentral:rRNA from 1 species
UACAUGGGGUGCAAACGUUGCUCGGAAUUAUUGGGCGUAAAGCGCGCGUAGGCGGUUACUCAAGUCGGAUGUGAAAGCCCUCGGCUUAACUGAGGAAGUGCACCCGAAACUGAGUAGCUAGAGUACCAAAGAGGGUCGCGGAAUUCCCGGUGUAGAGGUGAAAUUCGUAGAUAUCGGGAGGAACACCGGUGGCGAAGGCGGCGUCCUGGACCAAUACUGACACUGAAACGCGAAAGCCAGGGGAGCAAACGGG